CACUCUUAGAUGGUGUAUGUGUCUGCUGCUGCUGCAAUGAAAAAAUGCCUGAAGAGCCAAUGCUGGGCAAGAGUAGAACCGUGGUUAGCCUUUAUUGUUGAUGGAUGGUUGGUGAAGACAAAGGAAAUAAGGGAUACAAAAAAAAAGCAAGGUCUUUCAAGAGGAUUUUUGUAAUUCAUUCUUUUUUUUUCUUUUCAUUUUGCUUCUUCACUUCUUCUAGUGGCCACAAGGGGAUGUUUCUUCUCGUUUUUUUUAAAGAGCAUACAAAGUGAACAGCUUAUGAAUAAACGAGGAACAUAAAGUUGACAUUCGACAUUGCAACGUAGAAGCUGAAGGCUAUAAUAGAAUCAAGGCUACUCGAUGCAGGGGUAGAUAAAGUCUACUUAAGAAAUUGUAUUAAUCUUAACAAAAGGAUGAACUUGUUUCUGGGACAAGGUUCUUGCUUUAAGAGCUAUUUAUGUAUAUCUUCAAAGUUCAUAAAUUGAUUUAUUAGCGGAAGUAAAUGGUAAUU